GGGCUUGCUUUGGUAGCUUGUAUAUUAAAAUUGGAGCCAUACAGAGAAGAUUAGCAUGGAACCUACACAGGGAUGACACGCAAAUUCGUGAAGCGUUCCAUAAAAAA
ensembl:snRNA U6 U6 spliceosomal RNA